AUUGAACGCUGGCGGCAGGCCUAACACAUGCAAGUCGAGCGGAGCGGCGGACGGGGGAGUAAUGCCUAGGAAUCUGCCUGGUCGUGGGGGAUAACGUCCGGACACGGGCGCUAAUACCGCAUACUAUCCGAAGAGCCUAGGUUGGAUUAGCUAGAUGGUGGGGUAAAGGCCUACCAAGGCGACGAUCCGUAACUGGUCUGAGAGGAUGAUCAGUCACAAUGGAACUGAUAAACGGUCCAGAAUCGUACGGGAGGCAGAGGUGGGGAAUAUUGGACAAGGGGCGAAAGCCUAAUCCAGCCAUGCCGCGUGAGUGAAGAAGGUGUUCGGAUUGUAAAGCACUUUAAGUUGGGAGGCGUUACCAACAGAAUAAGCACCGGCUAACUUCGGACAAGGAGCCGCGGAAAUUC
rnacentral:rRNA from 1 species